AGACCCAAAACCCCAUUAAAGUGACCCCAAAUCCCAAUAAAGUGCCCCAAAACCCCAUUCUGUGACUCAAAACCCCAUUAAAGUGACCCCAAAACCCCAAUAAAGUGCCCCAAAACCCCAUUAUGUGACUCAAAACCCCAUUAAAGUGACCCCAAAAUCUCAAUAAAUGCCCCAAAACCCCAUUCUGUGGCUCGAAAUCCCAUUAAUGGACCCCAAAUCCCAUUGAAGUGACCCCAAAUCCCAUUAAUGGACCCAAAAUCCCAUUAAAGUGACCCCAAAUCCCAUUGAAGUGACCCCAAAUCCCAUUAAUUGACCCCAAAUCCCAUUGAAGUGACCCCAAACCCCAUUAAAGUGACCCCAAAUCCCAAUAAAGUGCCCCAAAACCCCAUUAUGUGACUCAAAACCCCAUUAAAGUGACCCCAAAACCCCAAUAAAGUGCCCCAAAACCCCAUUCUGUGGCUCAAAACCCCAUUAAUGGACCCCAAAUCCCAUUGAAGUGACCCCAAAUCCCAUUAAAGUGACCCCAAAUCCCAUUGAAGUGACCCCAAAUCCCAUUAAUGGACCCAAAAUCCCAUUAAAGUGACCCCAAAUCCCACUGAUGAGACCCAAAACCCCGUUAAAGUGACCCCAAAACCCCAAUAAAGUGCCCCAAAACCCCAUUAUGUGACUCAAAACCCCAUUAAAGUGACCCCAAAACCCCAAUAAAGUGACCCAAAAUCCCACUGAUGAGACCCAAAACCCCAUUAAAGUGACCCCAAAACCCCAAUAAAGUGCCCCAAAACCCCAUUCUGUGACUCAAAACCCCAUUAAAGUGACCCCAAAUCCCAAUAAAGUGCCCCAAAACCCCAUUAUGUGACUCAAAACCCCAUUAAAUGACCCCAAAUCCCAUUAAUUGCACCCCAAAUCCCAUUGAAGUGACCCCAAAUCCCAUUAAUGGACCCCAAAUCCCAUUAAAUGACCCCAAAUCCCAAUAAAGUGACCCCAAAUCCCAUUGAAGUGACCCCAAAUCCCAUUAAUUGACCCCAAAUCCCAUUAAAGUGACCCCAAAUCCCAUUGAAGUGUCUCCAAAUCCCAUUAAUGGACCCAAAAUCCCAUUAAUUGCACCCCAAAUCCCAUUAAAGUGACCCCAAAUCCCAUUAAUGGACCCCAAAUCCCAUUGAAGUGACCCCAAAUCCCAUUAAUGGACCCCAAAUCCCAUUAAAGUGACCCCAAAUCCCAUUGAAUGACCCCAAAUCCCAUUGAAGUGACCCCAAAUCCCAUUAAUGGACCCCAAAUCCCAUUGAAGUGACCCCAAAUCCCAUUAAAGUGACCCCAAAUCCCAUUGAAGUGACCCCAAAUCCCAUUAAUUGACCCCAAAUCCCAUUGAAGUGACCCCAAAUCCCAUUAAUUGACCCCAAAUCCCAUUAAAGUGACCCCAAAUCCCAUUAAUGGACCCCAAAUCCCAUUAAUUGCACCCCAAAUCCCAUUGAAGUGACCCCAAAUCCCAUUAAUGGACCCCAAAUCCCAUUAAUUGCACCCCAAAUCCCAUUGAAGUGACCCCAAAUCCCAUUAAAGUGACCCCAAAUCCCAUUAAUGGUCCCCAAAUCCCAUUAAAGUGACCCCAAAUCCCAUUGAAGUGACCCCAAAUCCCAUUAAAGUGACCCCAAAUCCCAUUAAUGGUCCCCAAAUCCCAUUAAAGUGACCCCAAAUCCCAUUGAAGUGACCCCAAAUCCCAUUGAAGUGACCCCAAAUCCCAUUGAAGUGACCCCAAAUCCCAUUGAUUUCACCCCAUAAGUGCCCCUCUGCCCCAUAAGUGCCCCCUCUGCCCCAUAAGUGCCCCAUAAGUGCCCCCUCUGCCCCAUAAG
ensembl:lncRNA